CUCCCUUCAACGGCAACCCGUUCACGCCGUUCCUCCAUUCAAGAUUUCCGUCUCGUAGGUCGGUCUCAGCGAUCCUUGGACCCCAUUUGAGCGUGCGGUGAUCCCCGGUUGUGCCCACAAUGAGCGUGCCGUUCAUUACGCAGUUACAGCGGAUUACCGACCGCCUAUCCUUACCUCUCCGGUACCCCGGACGGGAGGACGUCAAGCGCCAUUGGAUUAUUGGUUAAGCCUCGACGACAGUGCUCAGCUUCUCCGAUGUCGUUUCUUGCGACAGGGGUCUACAGAAAUACAAAGUAAAAUCACGGGACAACCAGGUUGAGAACGGAGACUUGGAUAGGGGGCAUGAAGUAUACGAAACACAUCCAGUUGAUACUAGUCUCUUGUAUGAGGCUUGGACUGCACAAAAGAGGUACUUACUGCAAGAGCGCAACCACAUAUCCCCGCUGGAAAGAAAUCCAACCUCAGAAAGCCGAAGAAACACGCAAAAUACACACUGUGACACUGGAACUGCGGCGAAGAAAGACAAAGUGCAGAAGCGUGCAGGGCUACAGUGGGCAACAGGGCUUUGCAGAAAAUACCGAAUUC